rnacentral:rRNA from 1 species
AACAGGAUUAGAUACCCUGGUAGUCCACGCCCUAAACGAUGUCAACUAGUUGUUGGUAGAGUAAAAUCUAUGAGUAACGCAGCUAACGCGUGAAGUUGACCGCCUGGGGAGUACGAUCGCAAGAUUAAAACUCAAAUGAAUUGACGGGGGCCCGCACAAGCGGUGGAUUGUGUGGAUUAAUUCGAUGCAACGCGAAAAACCUUACCUGGCCUUGACAUGUACCGAAUUUACCAGAGAUGGUUUAGUGCUCGAAAGAGAACGGUAACACAGGUGCUGCAUGGCUGUCGUCAGCUCGUGUCGUGAGAUGUUGGGUUAAGUCCCGCAACGAGCGCAACCCUUGCCAAUAAUUGCCAUCAUUUAGUUGGGCACUUUAUUGGGACUGCCGAUGACAAAUCGGAGGAAGGUGGGGAUGACGUCAAGUCCUCAUGGCCCUUAUGGCCAGGGCUUCACACGUAAUACAAUGGUCGGUACAGAGGGUCGCCAACCCGCGAGGGGGAGCUAAUCCCAGAAAGCCGAUCGUAGUCCGGAUUGUUCUCUGCAACUCGAGAGCAUGAAGUCGGAAUCGCUAGUAAUCGCGGAUCAGCAUGUCGCGGUGAAUACGUUCCCGGGCCUUGUACACACCGCCCGUCACACCAUGGGAGUGGGUUUUACCAGAAGUAGGUAGUCUAACCGCAAGGGGGGCGCUUACCACGGUAGUAUUCAUGACUGGGGUGAAGUCGUAACAAGGUAACC